rnacentral:rRNA from 1 species
GGCGGCGUGCCUAACACAUGCAAGUCGCACGAGAAAGUGGAGCAAUCCAUGAGUAAAGUGGCGCACGGGUGAGUAACACGUGAAUGAUCUACCUCCGAGUGGGGAAUAACCUAGAGAAAUCUGGGCUAAUACCGCAUAACAUUUACGAGUCAAAGCAGCAAUGCGCUUGGAGAGGAGUUCGCGGCCGAUUAGUUAGUUGGCGGGGUAAUGGCCCACCAAGACGAUGAUCGGUAUCCGGCCUGAGAGGGCGCACGGACACACUGGAACUGAAACACGGUCCAGACUCCUACGGGAGGCAGCAGUGGGGAAUUUUGCGCAAUGGGGGAAACCCUGACGCAGCAACGCCGCGUGGAGGAUGAAAUCCCUUGGGAUGUAAACUCCUUUCGAUCGGGACGAUUAUGACGGUACCGGAAGAAGAAGCCCCGGCUAACUUCGUGCCAGCAGCCGCGGUAAUACGAGGGGGGCAAGCGUUGUUCGGAAUUAUUGGGCGUAAAGGGCGCGUAGGCGGUUUGACAAGUCUGAUGUGAAAUCUCUGGGCUCAACUCAGAGUCUGCAUUAGAAACUGCCGGGCUUGAGUAUGGGAGAGGUGCGUGGAAUUUCCGGUGUAGCGGUGAAAUGCGUAGAUAUCGGAAGGAACACCUGUG